rnacentral:lncRNA from 1 species
AACACUGUCUGUCGCUACCCCACGUUGUGUGGGAUAGGAUUUUAAGUAAGUUCAUUGUUCUAAGACAUUUUUCUUUAAGAUGUUUUAUGUGAGGUAUGAAAGUGAGCCUGGAGUCAAGAAUAACACCAAGGAAUUUGUGUUCUUUGUUGACAGGGAUUUGUUGUCCGCCCAGUUCUACACAAGGAUCUGGGACCAGGCCUCUCUUUCUUGUGAAGAGAACACAAGAACAUUUGUGGGGGUUGACCUUAAAUCCGUUUUCGUCUGCCCACUUGGAAACCUUGUUCAAGCCCUGCUGUACCUGUCUUUCGCAUACUGUGAGGUUGCAGGAUUUGAAGCCUAUUUGUAUAUCGUCUACGUAUACGGAAUAAAAAAUGGCAGGUGGUA